GACGAACGCUGGCGGCGUGCUUAACACAUGCAAGUCGAACGGAAAGGCCCUGCUUUUGUGGGGUGCUCGAGUGGCGAACGGGUGAGUAACACGUGAGUAACCUGCCCUUGACUUUGGGAUAACUUCAGGAAACUGGGGCUAAUACCGGAUAGGAGCUCCUGCUGCAUGGUGGGGGUUGGAAAGUUUCGGCGGUUGGGGAUGGACUCGCGGCUUAUCAGCUUGUUGGUGGGGUAGUGGCUUACCCAGGCUUUGACGGAUAGCCGGCCUGAGAGGGUGACCGGCCACAUUGGGACUGAGAUACGGACCAGACUCCUACGGGAGGCAGCAGUGGGGAGUAUUGCACAAUGGGCGGAAGCCUGAUGCAGCAACGCCGCGUGCGGGAUGACGGCCUUCGGGUUGUAAACCGCUUUCGCCUGUGACGAAGCGUGAGUGACGGUAAUGGGUAAAGAAGCACCGGCUAACUACGUG
rnacentral:rRNA from 1 species